CAUCGCAUCUGUCCCCAGAAGAACCAAACGUGCAUUGAAGCCAUUGCUGCAGAGAGAGGAAGACUGAGCACUUUAGUGUCUAAGCUCCUGUUAUAACAGGGUCUAUCCACCACUGCAUGCUGGAGUGAACAACAUAACAGUGAGAGAGAGAACUGCUACCUACCGUGCAGGUGCUGCGGCAGGAUACCAUUCUGCAUUCCAGAGUAAUAUACCAAUUUGAAUUAUGAGCUCAACCUUGGGACUCUAACACUUCCAAAGAAGACCUCUGAUAGCCUAUAUUAGUCAGGUUUCUCCAAAGGAACAGCUACAAUAGGAUGUGUAGACAGCUAGAAAGAGAUUUAUUUUAAGGAACUGGCUCAUGCAAUUAGGAAGGCUGGCCAGUCCAAAAUCUGCCAAGUGGACCAGCAGGCUGGAGACCCAGGAAGAGCCAAUGCUGCAGUUCAAAUCCAAAGGACACCUGCUGGCUGAAUUCCCUCUUGCUUGGGGGAGGUCAUCUUUGCGUCUAUCAGACCUUCAACUGAUUGGACGAGGCCCACCCAC
rnacentral:lncRNA from 1 species